UUACUGGGGAUUAUAAAUGACCACCACCACUGGAAAUUAGCAGUCAUUUAUCCCCAUGGAAAGAGAUCCCUGCUCCUGGAUCCACUGGGGGAGUCCAAAAGAGACAUCAAACAAUGUUUGGAAACAACAAGGGCAUUCAUGAGAAAUAAAGGAUGCAAAGUCUCCAGAUGGACAUGUGGCACUGUUCAGCAUCCGAUACAGACAGACAGCACUUCAUGUGGUGUGUUUGUAUUGAAAGUAUGUGCUUUCCCCCCUAAUCAUCAUUAUAUGCAUUGGCUAAUUUGAAUUUGUAUAUAUUGAAAAUUUUAAAUUUUGUAUGUGUUAUCUUGGAAUGUCA